AGAACGAACGCUGGCGGCAGGCCUCAAACAUGCAAGUCUAGGGGGCGUAGCAAUACGUCAGCGGCAGACGGGUGAGUAACGCGUGGGAACGUACCUUUUGGUUCGGAACAACACAGGGAAACUUGUGCUAAAUACCGGAUAAGCCCUUACGGGGAAAGAUUUAUCGCCGAAAGAUCGGCCCGCGUCUGAUUAGCUAGUUGGUGAGGUAACGGCUCACCAAGGCGACGAUCAGUAGCUGGUCUGAGAGGAUGAUCAGCCACAUUGGGACUGAGACACGGCCCAAACUCCUACGGGAGGCAGCAGUGGGGAAUAUUGGACAAUGGGCGCAAGCCUGAUCCAGCCAUGCCGCGUGAGUGAUGAAGGCCCUAGGGUUAUAAAGCUCUUUGUGCGGAAGAUAAUGACGGUACCGCAAGAAUAAGCCCGGCUAACUUCGUGCCAGCAGCCGC
rnacentral:rRNA from 1 species